ACCAAAUUACGUGCCAGCAGUCGCGGUAAUACGUAGAAGACUAGUGUUAUUCAUGUUUAAUCGGUUUAAAGGGUACCUAGACGGUAAAUCAAGCUUUCAACAAUAAGUUAAUGUAAAAGGACUAAUUUACUAGAGUUACUUAUGAGGGGGUAUUAAAGUACUGCUGGUGUAGAGAUGAAAUUCUGUCAUACCUAUUUUCGAAAGAAAAACCAUGGCACAGGUAUAGGCGAAGGCAUCCCCUUAUGUGAUAACUGACGUUGAGGGACGAAGGCUUUGUGUAGCGAACAGGAUUAGGUACCCCAGUAGUCGAAGCAGAAAAUGAUGAAUGUCAUAGAUUAGAUAUAUAAGUUUAUUCUAUAAAUGAAAGUGCAAGCAUUCCACCUCAAGAGUAAUUUGGCAACAUUGGAACUGAAAUCAUUAGACCGUUUCUGAAACCAGUAGUGAAGUAUGUUGUUUAAUUUGAUAAUCCGCAAAAAACCUUACCACAAUUUGAAUAUUUAUAUUUUUUUUAUUGUUUUCUUAUUAAUUAUUUGAUGCUUCGAAGAAGAAAAAGUGCGCAUUGAAGAGAUACAAAAAGAUUUAAAGAAGAAAAAUAAAAGAAGAAGAAGAAAAUUAAUAAAGAGGCAAUAAGAUAUAUUUACAAGCGUUGCACGGCUGUCUUCAGUUAAUGUCGCGAGACUUUGGUUAGUUCCAUUAAAUUAACGUAAACCCU
rnacentral:rRNA from 1 species